rnacentral:rRNA from 1 species
UACGUAGGUGGCAAGCGUUGUUCGGAAUUACUGGGCGUAAAGCGCGCGCAGGCGGCUAUCCAAGUCAGUGGUGAAAGCCCGGAGCUCAACUCCGGAACUGCCAUUGAAACUGUUUAGCUUGAGGACGAGAGAGGUGAGUGGAAUUCCCAGUGUAGAGGUGAAAUUCGUAGAUAUUGGGAAGAACACCGGUGGCGAAGGCGGCUCACUGGCUCGUAUCUGACGCUCAGGCGCGAUAGCGUGGGGAUCAAACAGG